rnacentral:pre_miRNA from 1 species
CUGCUACUCCCUCUGUUCCACAAUACAUGUUUUUCAUUUGUCAAAAUAUAGAUAUAUCUAGACAUGUUUUAGUAUAUAGGUACAUUCAUUUUUUGACAAAUGGAAGUCAAGUAUUUUGAAACGGAGGGAGUAGUAU